AUGGAAGAGCAGGAAGAAGUCCAGGAGGCCUCAAUGCAGCUGCCCAUACACGUGGCCUUGACUGAAACGGCGUUCCGAACGAGGCUGAAAACAUACCGACUUUCACCGGCAGGACGCGCCGCCGCCAGAUUUCCUAUCGAAAAAUUUCUUCGGAGCUCGGAGAAAAUCGUCGCCCCGUUGGUGUCUUACGGCUUAGAGUCUAGUCCGAAUUUAAAAGUCAAUGCGCUGCUUCUCGCGUCGUUUCGUCAUCCGGUGAAGCGCCGCGAAUAUCGCGAUUUCAAUUUAAAAACGGAUAACUUCCGCGUGCACAAUGUCGGCGAUGUGAAUGAUUUUCUGGUGUAUAUGCGCUCCAAAAUUUUACAGGAGCUCGACGAUUAUGCUACAACGGGCAGCGGUUGGACGUUCCGUAAAGUCAGGUAUCUCGAACUGCGCGUCAACAAAUACGAACCGCUGAGCGGUAAAAGAAAGAAGAAGAAGGAAAGCGGGAUGUACAGGAAGAGGGGUCCCAAGAGGGGUGGCGGGGGGAGUGGUGGUGGUGGUGGUGCUGGCGGCUCGUCCGAUUUGCGCGGGGGUUGUGCGGUGCGACUACCGGACGCGGUGCGGCGCACAAAAUCCACGAUUUCGGUGAACAACGCGAACAAUUCUUACUGUUUUAAAUACGCUGUGUUCGGUGAGGAUCUUGGUGACCCUCGAAACGCGGAAAGAGAGAGUAAAUAUUUGAGGGAUCCUCAAUUCGCGACGAAAUAUAACUGGGGGGUUAUCAACUACCCCGUAGCGGUGCGGGACAUACCGAUUUUUGAAAGAGCCAACGACAUAUCCGUAAAUGUGUAUCAGUUGAACCCCGACGAUCUGAUCGUGCGCCCGUUGAAAGUUGUAAAAGAAGAAAGGCCCACCCACCGCGACAUUUUACUUUACCGAGGUCAUUACGCGUGGAUAAAAAAUUUACGACGAUUAUUGUCACGACAAAUACCCAACCUACGUCAUUACGUAUUUUGUAAAUGUUGUUUUUCUAUUUUCACCUCCGCCGUAACUUUGAACGCGCAUAUGCGCGAAUGCGAUGCAUCUGGCGACGGUGACAGGUUGCCGGUUCAGGCGAUAAUUCCUGAGUCUAUCAGACGCAAAAAUGCACUGUCAGUUUAUCGCUGCCGCCCGGAGCUCUCAUUUCGCAGAGCGCUGGAGGACGCCCGACCGGGGGACCGAGAUUUUUGGAACGAGAUCGAUUGGACUGCCGUCCGUUCGUCUUACGUAAAGGUUGAAGAUUUGAGACGUUUCGCCGCGGCCAAUCGUCACCGGUUGAGCGUAAAUAUUUACGCUUUAAACGCCAAAAAUAGCGUGUUCCCCCUGGUGGUCUGCAAAGAGGAGCACCCGUCUCAUUUCGAUGUUUUGCAAAUUUUGAAUUCGUCCGUCGUCGAAGGCAAUGCGGCACCAGAAACGGUGACGUAUUUCUAUAAUAUCAAAAAUUUUUCGGCAUUGGUCGGCGGACAGAGAAACGCGCGCCAGCACGCCGCAUUUUAUUGUAGAUCUUGUUUCGCAUCGUUCACCGGCGAAGUAACCUUACAGAGGCACAAAGAAUCAUGCCGGUUAACGAAGCCCGCCAGAAGUUUGAUGCCGCCGCGCGAUAAAAAUCUUUUAAAUUUCUCUAAAUGGAGUCACACGCGUAAAUUGCCUUACCUCAUAUUUUCCGACUGGGAAUGUUUGCUUAAACCGGUGAAAGCGGACACCAGGCCUGUGAAAAACGCCUAUCAGGAACACGAACCGUGCGCUUUC
rnacentral:lncRNA from 1 species